UACGUAGGUGGCAAGCGUUGUCCGGAUUUAUUGGGUUUAAAGGGUGCGUAGGCGGCUUUGUAAGUCAGUGGUGAAAUACUCCAGCUCAACUGGAGAGGUGCCAUUGAUACUGCAGAGCUAGAGUACUGAUGAGGUAGGCGGAAUGGACGGUGUAGCGGUGAAAUUCGUAGAUAUUCGGAAGAACACCAGUGGCGAAGGCGGCUCACUGGCUCGAUACUGACGCUGAGGUGCGAAAGCGUGGGGAGCAAACAGG
rnacentral:rRNA from 1 species